rnacentral:rRNA from 1 species
UACGGAAGGGGGCUAGCGUUGCUCGGAAUCAGCUAGGGCGUAAAGCGCACGUAGGCGGACUCUUAAGUCGGUGGUGAAAAUCCGUGGAGCUCAACUCCAGAACUGCCUUCGAUACUGAGAGUCGUUGAGUCCGGGAGAGGUGAGUGGAACUGCGAGUGUAGAGGUGAAAUUCGUAGAUAUUCGCAAGAACACCAGUCGGCGAAGGCGGCUCACUGGCCCGGUACUAGAGCGCUGAGGUGCGAAAAGCGGUGGGGAGCCAAACAGG